rnacentral:rRNA from 1 species
CCUACGGGUGACAGCAGUGGGGGAUAUUGCACAAUGGGCGAAAGCCUGAUGGAGCAACGCCGCGUGCAGGAUGAAGGCCUUCGGGUUGUAAACUGCUUUUAUAAGCGAGAAAUAUGAUGGUAACUUAUGAAUAAGGAUCGGCUAACUACGUGCCAGCAGCCGCGGUCAUACGUAGGAUCCGAGCAUUAUCCGGAGUGACUGGGUGUAAAGAGUUGCGUAGGUGGCAUAAUAAGUAGCUAGUGAAAUCUGGUGGCUCAACCAUUCAGACUAUUAGCUAAACUGUUAAGCUCGAGACCGUUAGGGGUAACUGGAAUUUCUAGUGUAGGAGUGAAAUCCGUAGAUAUUAGAAGGAACACCAAUAGCGUAGGCAGGUUGCUGGGACGGUUCUGACACUAAGGCACGAAAGCGUAGGGAGCAAACGGGAUUAGAUACCCGGGUAGUC